UACGAAGGGGGCUAGCGUUGUUCGGAAUUACUGGGCGUAAAGCGCGUGUAGGCGGGGCGUUAAGGCGGGGGUGAAAGCCCAGAGCUCAACUCUGGAACUGCCUUCGAUACUGGCGACCUGGACCCAAGGAGAGGCGAGUGGAAUUCCGAGUGUAGAGGUGAAAUUCGUAGAUAUUCGGAGGAACACCAGUGGCGAAGGCGACUCGCUGGACUUGUGGUGACGCUGAGACGCGAAGGCGUGGGGAGCAAACACG
rnacentral:rRNA from 1 species